CUUGUCAUAGUGAACAAGGUUUCAACUUCCAGGAAAAUACUUCUUUUUGGGAGGGCGAUCCUCCCGUUGAACUGACUGUACCCCAAACCGACACAGGUGAACAAGUAGAGUAUACUAGGGCGCUUAAGAGAACCAUGUCGAAGGAACUCGGCAAAAUGACCCCAUAACUUCGGGAGAAUGGAUGCUCUCCUAUCUUUUUCUUAAGAAAGAGACACAUACCAGGGGGUAGCGACUGUUUAUUAAAAACACAGAACUCUGCUAAGUGGUAACACAAUGUAUAGAGUCUGACACCUACCCGGUGCUAGAAGGUCCAAAGGAGAAGUGUGAUAAGCUUUGAAUGGAAGGCCUGGUAAACGGAGAAGUGUGAUAAGCUUUGAACGGAGUCGUUCGGUACCUUAAUGUCGACUCAUCACAUCCUGGGGUUGAAGAAGGUCCCAAGGGUUCGGUUGUUUACCGAUGAAAAUGGUACGUGAGUUGGGUUUAGAACGUUAUCAGAUUGUUCGGUUCCUAUCUACCGUUGGUGUGAACAG
rnacentral:ncRNA from 1 species